CAGUCGCCGCGGGAAUACGAAGGGUGCAAGCGUUAAUCGGAAUUACUGGGCGUAAAGCGUGCGUAGGCGGUGAGUUAAGUCUGCUGUGAAAUCCCCGGGCUCAACCUGGGAAUGGCAGUGGAUACUGGCUCGCUAGAGUGUGUCAGAGGAUGGUGGAAUUCCCGGUGUAGUGGUGAAAUGCGUAGAGAUCGGGAGGAACAUCAGUGGCGAAGGCGGCCAUCUGGGACAACACUGACGCUGAGGCACGAAAGCGUGGGGAGCAAACAGGAUUAGAUACCCCAGUAGUCCCUGUCUCUUAUAC
rnacentral:rRNA from 1 species